rnacentral:rRNA from 1 species
GGGGUCAAGUUCCUUGGAACAGGACGCCUGAGAGGGUGAGAGCCCCGUACACCUGGGAACCACCGCCGUAUUAAAAGAAGCUCCUUCGACGAGUCGAGUUGUUUGGGAAUGCAGCUCUAAGCGGGAGGUAAAUUUCUUCUAAAGCUAAAUACCGGCCAGAGACCGAUAGCGCACAAGUAGAGUGAUCGAAAGAUGAAAAGCACUUUGGAAAGAGAGUUAAAAAGCACGUGAAAUUGUUGAAAGGGAAGCUCUUGCUGUCAGACUUGUCACGGUUGCUCAGCCGCCCCCAGGGGUGGUGUACUCUUCCGCGGCGGGCCAGCAUCAACUCUGGCGGCCGGACAAAGGCCCUGGGAAUGUAGCCUCUCUCGGGGGGUGUUAUAGCCCGGGGUGUAAUGCGGCCAGUCGGGGUUGAGGGAAGCGUUUUUGCUAGGAUGCUGGCGUAAUGGCAGCAAGCGACCCGUCUUGAAACACGGACCAAGGAGUCUAACAUCUGUGCGAGUGUUUGGGUGUCAAACCCAUGCGCGUAAUGAAAGUGAACGGAGGUGGGAACCCUUCCGGGGUGCACCAUCGACCGAUCCUGAAGUCUUCGGAUGGAUUUGAGUAAGAGCAUAGCUGUUGGGACCCGAAAGAUGGUGAACUAUGCGUAGAUAGGGUGAAGCCAGAGGAAACUCUGGUGGAGGCUCGCAGCGGUUCUGACGUGCAAAUCGAUCGUCAAAUCUGCGUAUAGGGGCGAAAGACUAAUCGAACCAUUAACUACUAGGUGGUUAGGAGGCUAUAAACAACUAAAAGAUUUAUCGGCCUAGUCCCCCUAUCGCGGGGGGGCUAUACCGACAAAUUGCGGGGACUUCCUUAUACUUUAGGGGGGCUANUAAGCUGUUCUAGGGGGUUCUACCCCCUGUUUGCGGUGGCCGCGGCUAGACGCCGCGGGUAUAGUAAAAAUGCCCCGAGUCUCGGACGAUCCGCAGCUACGUCCUCGCGUUCUCAUCGGCGCGGGGUACCCGGUCCACAGACUAGACGUCGGUAGGUGGCGACCUUCCAGGGGGUCCACCGCUUAAGAUAUAGUCGAACCCCCGGCGAAGAGCCGGGGGGUUUUAUAGGCGUGAACCCUCGAGAAGCUAGUAGCUGGUUCACGCCGAAGUUUCCCUCAGGAUAGCAGUAACGUUUUCAGUUUUAUGAGGUAAAGCGAAUGAUUAGUGGCCUUGGGGAGGAAACCUCCUCAACCAAUUCUCAAACUUUAAAUAUGUAAGAAGUCCUUGUUGCUUAGUUGAACGUGGACAAUUGAAUGCACCGUUACUAGUGGGCCAUUUUUGGUAAGCAGAACUGGCGAUGCGGGAUGAACCGAACGCGGGGUUAAGGUGCCGGAAUGCACGCUCAUCAGACACCACAAAAGGUGUUAGUUCAUCUAGACAGCAGGACGGUGGCCAUGGAAGUCGGAACCCGCUAAGGAGUGUGUAACAACUCACCUGCCGAAUGAACUAGCCCUGAAAAUGGAUGGCGCUCAAGCGUGCUACCAAUACCCCGCCGCCGGGGCAGGAACGACGCCCCGGCGAGUAGGCGUGCGUGGGGGU